UACGAAGGGGGCUAGCGUUGCUCGGAAUCACUGGGCGUAAAGGGCGCGUAGGCGGCUUAUCAAGUCGGGGGUGAAAGCCCGUGGCUCAACCACGGAAUGGCCUUCGAUACUGGUAGGCUUGAGACCGGAAGAGGACAGCGGAACUGCGAGUGUAGAGGUGAAAUUCGUAGAUAUUCGCAAGAACACCAGUGGCGAAGGCGGCUGUCUGGUCCGGUUCUGACGCUGAGGCGCGAAAGCGUGGGGAGCAAAGCAGG
rnacentral:rRNA from 1 species